AGAGCGGCCUCGCAGAGCACGAGCAAGCCCGGGCUGUGGUGCAGUUGGGGCCGGAUCCGCGGGGCUCCAGUCCUCCGGGGCUGGAGGGGAAAGGCAAAAGUGAGCAGAACCGGAAUCUACUACGCUACAGCACUCUACAAAACAGCAUCUCCCUGGACUUUCCUGUUCAUGGCUCCUGCAGCCCAAUUCUGCAGAGUAUUGUUGAUUUCACCCAGCUGGUCCCUAGGCAUCUAAUUUGUUGCCCCCAACUUGUGCUAGGUGCAGUAGUAUCAGACACUUCCAUCAAACAGAAAACGAGGAAGCAGGUGGUAUAAUAGAACUGUUGGGGUGGCAGGAGAGCCCAGGCAGCUUCCUGGAGGAGGUGGUGGUGAAUCCAUCAGAGCGUGAGCUGGAGGUGGCCAGGCGAAAAGGGAGACCAGACGGGGAGGAAUAGAAAUCUCGUUCAGAAAGAAACCUAAGGGAAGACCAGGAAGUGGGAAAUAAGGAAUGCUGUGUGUGUUAUUGAGAAACUUUGUAUUGAGUUUCAAUUCUGGGGCAGCAGCAAGACAGCUUUGCUCGAUCUAGGUAGGAGUCCGGUUCUCACCUCCCACCUUAAACUGCCUUUGCAGGAAGGCGCUUCUCUUGCUUAAGCUCUCUCCAGCCUCUGGUCCCAUUUCUGCAGCCUAAUGAAGCACAGCCUCCCCCUGCUGACAGGAGCUGGAAGUGGGAGAAGCCCAGACUGGGCUCUGCCAGGAUGCGACCUGGAUACUCUCAAGUUCAUUAUCAUGAAGUUGCCCAUCCCUCCAACCCCCUUUCCCCCUGCCCCAGCCCAGGUAGUAGCAACGCCCCUUUAAUCCCAGCAUUCAGUAGGCAGAGGCAGGAGAAACUCUUGAGUUUGAGGCCAGCCUGAUCUAUGAAUCGAGUUCCAAAUGGGGGUGGGGGAUGGGGACCUAAGGGAAAUAACACAGAAGAGUAAGAGUAAAUCAGACCACAGUGGCA